ensembl:lncRNA
CAGAAACCACCCUAGACCACAGAAACCACCCUAGACCACAGAAACCAACCUAGACCACAGAAACCACCCUAGACCACAGAAACCACCCUAGACCACAGAAACCACCCUAGAUAGAGGAUCUCAGACCACAGAAACCACCCUAGAUAGAGGAUCUCAGACCACAUGAGAUUCUGUGAAAGGGACUGAAGAGGAUUUCAAAGCUUCCUUGUGACAGCAGGGUGACAGCAGGGUGACAGCAAGGUGACAGCAGGGUGACAACAAGGUGACAGCAGGGUGACAGCAGGGUGACAGCAGGGUGACAGCAGGGUGACAGCAAGGUGACAGCAAGGUGACAGCAGGUGACAGCAGGGUGACAGCAGGGUGACAGCAAGGUGACAGCAGGGUGACAGCAGGGUGAAAGCAGGGUGACAGCAGGGUGACAACAAGGUGACAACAGGGUCUUGUUCAGUUC